GUUAGGAAAUAGUUUAUUGCACUCUUUGACAACCAAUGGUAACUGUGAGGUCAGAGUUGAUCUGAGGAAUUUCAAGGGCGAGAAGCGUUUUGCCAAGUACUUGUCGUUUUCCAUAGGAAACAGUGCAUCGAAAUACAAGCUGUCUGUGGGAGGAUACAGUGGAAAUGCAGGUGAUUCUCUGUCCAAGCACAAUGGAUUUGCCUUUUCUACACCAGACAGUGACAAUGAUACUUGGCCGAAAGGAAACUGUGCCGCUACCUCUGGAUGGUGGUACUUUGCUUGUGACGACGUAUCACUGACCAAAUAUUACAACAACAAAAGUAGUCCUAUAGAGUGGGAGCGAUGGACAGGGUCUGGAUUUUCAAUAAAAUACGCCGUAAUGAUGACCAGACCAAAAUAAAUCUUUACAUCUGAACAGAUAAAAGUAUUUACAAUAAAUCAAAUUCAACUCAA